rnacentral:rRNA from 1 species
GCAUCCCUCAUUAUCUUAUCUAGCGUGGGCGCACGAAAUAGUUAUAGUCUCGGGAAACGUACCGACUGAGGGGGACUACUACUGGACGACGGUAGCUAAUACACAGACAUAACGUCGCAAGACCAAAGAGGGGGACCUUCGGGCCUCUUGCCAUCGGAUGUGCCCAGAUGGGAUUAGCUAGUAGGUGGGGUAACGGCUCACCUAGGCGACGAUCCCUAGCUGGUCUGAGAGGAUGACCAGCCACACUGGAACUGAGACACGGUCCAGACUCCUACGGGAGGCAGCAGUGGGGAAUAUUGCACAAUGGGCGCAAGCCUGAUGCAGCCAUGCCGCGUGUAUGAAGAAGGCCUUCGGGUUGUAAAGUACUUUCAGCGGGGAGGAAGGCGAUAAGGUUAAUAACCUUGUCGAUUGACGUUACCCGCAGAAGAAGCACCGGCUAACUCCGUGCCAGCAGCCGCGGUAAUACGGAGGGUGCAAGCGUUAAUCGGAAUUACUGGGCGUAAAGCGCACGCAGGCGGUCUGUCAAGUCGGAUGUGAAAUCCCCGGGCUCAACCUGGGAACUGCAUUCGAAACUGGCAGGCUAGAGUCUUGUAGAGGGGGGUAGAAUUCCAGGUGUAGCGGUGAAAUGCGUAGAGAUCUGGAGGAAUACCGGGUGGCGAAUGCUGCCCCCUGGACCAAGACUGACGCUCAGGUGCGAAAGCGUGGGGAGCCAACAGAUUAAUACCCUGGUAGUCCCGCCGUAACGAUGUCACUGGAGGUGUGCCUUGAGCUUGGCUCCGGAGCUAAGCGUUAGUUCACCGCCUGGGAAUUCGGGCGCAGGGUUAACCUGAAUUAUUGACGGGGGCCGCCACACCGGUGACCCUUUGUUUAUUCGAUUCACCCGAAAACCUCCCCCCUGACUUCGGAACGUGCAGAGUGUUGUU